rnacentral:rRNA from 1 species
UGCAAGUCGAACGGAAAGGUCUCUUCGGAGACACUCGAGUGGCGAACGGGUGAGUAACACGUGGGCGAUCUGCCCUGCACUUCGGGAUAAGCCUGGGAAACUGGGUCUAAUACCGGAUAGGACCACGGGAUUCAUGUCCUGUGGUGGAAAGCUUUUGCGGUGUGGGAUGGGCCCGCGGCCUAUCAGCUUGUUGGUGGGGUAACGGCCUACCAAGGCGACGACGGGUAGCCGGCCUGAGAGGGUGUCCGGCCACACUGGGACUGAGAUACGGCCCAGACUCCUACGGGAGGCAGCAGUGGGGAAUAUUGCACAAUGGGCGCAAGCCUGAUGCAGCGACGCCGCGUGGGGGAUGACGGCCUUCGGGUUGUAAACCUCUUUCACCAUCGACGAAGGUUCGGGUUUUCUCGGAUUGACGGUAAAUGGAGAAGAAGCACCGGCCAACUACGUGCCAGCAGCCGCGGUAAUACGUAGGGUGCGAGCGUUGUCCGGAAUUACUGGGCGUAAAGAGCUCGUAGGUGGUUUGUCGCGUUGUUCGUGAAAUCUCACGGCUUAACUGUGAGCGUGCGGGCGAUACGGGCAGACUAGAGUACUGCAGGGGAGACUGGAAUUCCUGGUGUAGCGGUGGAAUGCGCAGAUAUCAGGAGGAACACCGGUGGCGAAGGCGGGUCUCUGGGCAGUAACUGACGCUGAGGAGCGAAAGCGUGGGGAGCGAACAGGAUUAGAUACCCUGGUAGUCCACGCCGUAAACGGUGGGUACUAGGUGUGGGUUUCCUUCCUUGGGAUCCGUGCCGUAGCUAACGCAUUAAGUACCCCGCCUGGGGAGUACGGCCGCAAGGCUAAAACUCAAAGGAAUUGACGGGGGCCCGCACAAGCGGCGGAGCAUGUGGAUUAAUUCGAUGCGACGCGAAGAACCUUACCUGGGUUGACAUGCACAGA